GACGAACGCUGGCGGCGUGCUUAACACAUGCAAGUCGAACGGUGAACCGGAGCUUGCUCUGGGGAUCAGUGGCGAACGGGUGAGUAACACGUGGGCAACCUGCCCCAGACUCUGGGAUAACCCCGGGAAACCGGAGCUAAUACCGGAUAUGACCACUUCGGACAUCCGAUGGUGGUGGAAAGUUUUUCGGUCUGGGAUGGGCCCGCGGCCUAUCAGCUAGUUGGUGGGGUAAUGGCCUACCAAGGCGACGACGGGUAGCCGGCCUGAGAGGGCGACCGGCCACACUGGAACUGAGACACGGUCCAGACUCCUACGGGAGGCAGCAGUGGGGAAUAUUGCACAAUGGGCGAAAGCCUGAUGCAGCGACGCCGCGUGAGGGACGACGGCCUCGGUGUAACGUACUUCUACGCAGGACGGAAGACGAACGUAGACUGUA
rnacentral:rRNA from 1 species